rnacentral:rRNA from 1 species
AGUUAAACGGCCGCGGUAUUUUGACCGUGCGAAGGUAGCGCAAUCACUUGUCUUUUAAAUGAAGACCUGUAUGAAUGGUGGAACGAGGGCUUAACUGUCUCCCCUUUCAAGUCAAUGAAAUUGAUCUGCCCGUGCAGAAGCGGACAUACCACUACAAGACGAGAAGACCCUUUGGAGCUUAAGAUAUAAGAUCAACUAUGUCAAGAAUCCCAAACAAAUUAAACUAAAUAGCAACUGAUCCCUAUCUUCGGUUGGGGCGACCACGGGAGAAAAUAAAGCUCCCAUGCGGACUGGGACUUUUCCUAAAACCAAGAGAGACAUCUCUAAGUCACAGAAUUUCUGACCAUAAAGAUCCGGCCACCCGCCGAUCAACGAACCAAGUUACCCCAGGGAUAACAGCGCAAUCCCCUUUCAGAGUCCAUAUCGACAAGGGGGUUUACGACCUCGAUGUUGGAUCAGGACAUCCUAAUGGUGCAGCCGCUAUUAAGGGUUCGUUUGUUCAACGAUUAAAGUCCUACGUGAUCUGAGU